AAACCUGAUGAAAUUGAUGGUGGCGACCAAUCCUAUUUCCAAACCUAUUUCAAAAACCUCAACAGAAACCUAAUUGUUCAUUUGUGUCUCAACCUAUUUCAACCUUCACACCUCGCGUCGCAUUUCAACUAUAGUCACCACCGUCACACCUCGCCGCCGCAUCUCAACCAUAACCACCACAGUCGCACCUUGCCGCCAUCGCCACCAUCGAAUCUUAACUUCCUUACGUUGCAUCUCAACUUCUCUGUCAUCGUAAUCUCGUCGCUAUCGGAACCUCGUCACCUUCGUAAUCUCAUCGCCGUAUUGCAAAUACGGUGUUUUUUCUGAGAUUGAAGUCUAUUCUCAAGUUGAAGGAGCCAAAUAGACAUUUUCGCCAUUUCUCCUUGUAUAGAGUCCUUUGGUAGACAUGAACUAAUGUGAUCAAUUUAAAAGCCACUGGAAGCUAGCUGUGCAAACAUGCAUAUUCAUAUGAUAGUUUAGACUGUUCUUCUUGUACUAUUUAUUUAUUAUCGCUGCAGUGAUUGUCAUCCCUUCAAGUUCAGGAAUAAGCAAAAGUGCAGUAGAUAAAUAUUUUGUAGAUAUCAACACAGAUGAUUGGUUUGUUCAGCACUUUCUGGAUUCAACAUCUUCAAUAGUUGUUUCAAAAUUGUUUAUGGUCGAACAACCACGUGAUGUGAAAUUGAUAAAAUGUUUGAAGGAAUCGUUUGUGUUGGAAGCCUUGUUCCACCUAAUUUAAUGAAUCGAAGUGUUCAUAGCAAGAUACAAAAGCUUGGGGAGGAAAAGAAGAGUAAGAAGAAAAGGUAAAGGAGUGGCUCGCAGACUAGGAGGCUGAAGCAUUGAGAUGCCAGAAGCUGCUGGUGGAGGAGGAGGAAGCUGUACAGACAAACACCACAUGGACCACUCCUAAGCUGAAUUUAUUGUUGUCAAUAAGCUGAAUUCACGUGGAGAAGGGCAUUGAGCAUCGACCGAAGCUUCUUAGCUGAGAUUUCAACUCUUGGAAAUACCAGGCACAGGAACAUUGUGAAGCUACAUGAAUUCUUUGAAAAUAAUUUUGAUGCGAAAUUACCUGCGGAAUUUGAUUCAAAAAGUAUUUUAGUGCAAAAUUUUAUGUGGAUAUAUCUGCGGAUUUUCAUAACGUAUAAUAUUUGUAGGAAUAGACCUGCAGAUAUUUUUGCAUGAAAAAUCGAAGAAAAAAAAAGCCUUAAGUUUACUAAAUACUUGCUGCAGAAUUUA